GAGCGGCCGUCGGUGCAG
rnacentral:snRNA from 1 species